rnacentral:rRNA from 1 species
AUGGACGACGAGCUGCUCUCCCCGUGCUCCUCCUUCUUCCCGGUCUCGCCGCCGUCCGGGCAGUUCGAGCACCACCACCACCAGUUCAUCGAGUUCACCUCCUGCGAGGUCCCCGAGCAAUGGCUGCUCGGCGACGUCGUCGUCCCGGCCAAGAGCGAGGACGCGGGGGACCUGUGGCCCGCGGGGUCCCUGCUGUCCCCGGACUCCGAGCUCUCGGAGCUGCCGGCGGUGAGCCUCCCUGCCUCCACGGAGUCGACGCCGCGGCCGGCGGCCAAGCGGCGUGGGAGGAAGCCCGGGCCACGCCCCGAGGGCCCCACUGUCAGCCACGUGGAGGCCGAGCGGCAGCGCCGCGACAAACUGAACCGCCGCUUCUGCGACCUCCGCGCUGCCGUCCCCACCGUGUCCCGCAUGGACAAGGCCUCCCUCCUCGCCGACGCCGCCGCAUACAUUGCCGAGCUGCGCGCCCGUGUGGCCCGGCUCGAGGACGAGAGCAAGCAGGCGGCCGCCGCGAGGUGGGACACUAACUCGGCGUCCCGCAGCGGUGGCGGCGCCUCCUUGCAGCACUUUCUAGCCGGCGACGAGACGGUGGAGGUGCGGAUGGUGGGGCGAGACGCCGCCGCAGUGCGCGUGACCACGGCCGCGGGGUCCGCUCCGUACGCGCCGGCGAGGCUGAUGAGCGCGCUCCGCUCGCUUGAGCUGCAGGUGCAGCACGCGUGCGUGAGCCGCGUGCAGGGCGCGACGGUGCAGGACGUCGUGGUGGACGUGCCCACCGCGCUGCAGCAUGAUGACGGCGCCGCCCUCCGCUCCGCGCUGCUCCAGCGGCUACGCGACAGCGCCUAG